rnacentral:rRNA from 1 species
UACGGGGGGGAGCAAGCGUUGUUCGGAUUUACUGGGCGUAAAGGGCGCGUAGGCGGCCACGACAAGUCACUUGUGAAAUCUCCGGGCUUAACUCGGAAAGGUCAAGUGAUACUGUCGGGCUAGAGUACAGAAGGGGCAACUGGAAUUCUCGGUGUAGCGGUGAAAUGCGUAGAUAUCGAGAGGAACACCUGCGGCGAAGGCGGGUUGCUGGGCUGAUACUGACGCUGAUGCGCGAAAGCCAGGGAGCGAACGGG